rnacentral:rRNA from 1 species
AUUGAACGCUGGCGGCAGGCCUAACACAUGCAAGUCGAACGAGUGGCGGACGGGUGAGUAAUGUCUGGGAAACUGCCUGAGGGAGGGGGAUAACUAUUGGAAACGAUAGCUAAUCCCGCAUACUGUGAGAUGGACCUUCGUUGUAUUAGCUAGUUGGUGAGGUAAAGGCUCACCAAGGCGACGAUACAUAGCCGACCUGAGAGGGUGACAAUCCACACUGGAACUGAGACACGGUCCAUACUCCUACGGGAGGCAGCAGUGGGGAAUAUGGCACAAUGGGCGCAAGCCUGAUGCAGCCAUGCCGCGUGUAUGAAGAAGGCCUUCGGGUUGUAAAGUACUUUCAGCGGGGAGGCGUUACCCGCAGAAGAAGCACCGGCUAACUCCGUGCCAGCAGCCGCGGUAAUUC